rnacentral:tRNA from 1 species
GGGUCUGUACUCAAGAGGCUGAAGAGGUGUCAUUGCUAACGACAUAGGGGAAGAGAUUCCCGCGAAGGUUCAAAUCCUUUCAGGCCCG